rnacentral:misc_RNA from 1 species
AUUUAUUCAUGUUUAUUAUUCAUAUGAGAGUUGCAUAUGAUUUGUCAAGAAUGAAACCAAACAUGAAUUGAUACUUAACUUCUAUAACCAACCCACCAAAUUGGACCCCAAAUCCCAUAAUCAAAGGCUAAAAGAUUGUAGGCUAAUAUUCGGAAUUUCAGGCCAUUCAAGGAAGAAAAAUUCAACAUUUAUACUUGCAGUUCCACACAUAAGACAUGUUAAUGCUAAGAACAAGUAAACCUAAAACUAAACAGUUGAUAAAACGCAUGUGCUUGUGGGGUCAUUAGAUUA